rnacentral:tRNA from 1 species
GGAUUUGUAGCUCAAUGGUAGAGCGGCCAGUCAUUCCGAACUGAAUAACUGAGCAUUUAGUGGGUUCGAUUCCCACCAAAUCCA